AGCAGUGCAAUUAAAGAAUAAUCUUUUGCCUCUUGGUCAAAAGUUUUCAAUUUCAACAGUACAACAUCUGUAUAAACUAAGUUUUGUCCACGAGGCAAGAGUUGCAUAUAUGUUAAUAAUCUAAGUAGUGCAAUUAAAGAAUAACAUUUUGCCUCUUAGGCAAAAGUUUUUAAUUUCAACAGUAUAGCCUUUGUACCUGUUCUAAAUUAAGUCU
rnacentral:lncRNA from 1 species